UAGUGAGUUUGAUCCUGGCUCAGGACGAACGCUGGCGGCGUGCCUAAUACAUGCAAGUCGAACGCAGUAGCUUGCUACUGAGUGGCGCACGGGUGAGUAACACGUAACUGACCUACCCCGUAGUCCCGCACAACGGUCCGAAAGGACCGCUAAUUCGGGAUGUGAACCCGCACCGUGGUGCGUGUUUAAAGAUUCAUCGCUAUGGGAUGGGGGUUGCGGCGCAUCAGCUCGUUGGUGAGGUAAAGGCUCACCAAGGCAACGACGCGUAACCGGCCUGAGAGGGUGGUCGGUCACAGGGGCACUGAGA
rnacentral:rRNA from 1 species